rnacentral:lncRNA from 1 species
GCACAGCUUCUUUUUCCAUUCCCUUUAUGUCGCCCAUUUCCCUCUCAAAACCUAUAGUUUUAAUUUUUAUUUUUAUUUUUCCCUAUAAAGCCAUGCCUCAUUUUAAGUAUCGGUAACUCCCGAUCACUGCUACCCUUUCCGAUUGAUUUGAGUCCCAUAACGCAUGUCAAGGCUCUGCCCGACUAAGUUCGUUUGGAUUCUAUCUCAGGACUUCGGGACAAGGUUGAAUUAGGGGUACUAUACUUAACAUGAGUACAUUAUAUUUUUAAAUAGCUUAAAAGUUAUACCCAAAAUUUAUACCAGGAAUCCUUCUAGUUGAACCCUAAAGUUACACAGUGGGUCCAUCCCUUUUUCUCACCAUUUUAUUCUCUUUUUGUGAGUUACCCAAAACUAUUAUUUAUUAUUUAUUAUUUCUAUUUUGUAAACAAACUUUCAUCAAAAGUCAUGCCUAUUAUUUUAUUUACCCAAUAGGGAACCAUAGUUGAGACACCCAAGUAAUCCUGCACAACCCCUAAAAUUUCCAGAACAAUCAGAAUCAGGAUCAGGGCCCCUAAAACUCAGGGGGGGAUAAACCCUAACCAAUGAUUAUCCUCAUAACUCUGUGUAAAAUUCGAAAUUAACGAAACUGUCAACACAGCAAGCCUAGUUACACACGUAGCUACCCUAUGAACAUAGGUUACCACUCGCGUAGCGCGACACCUAUAGGGGGUACCCCUCGCGCUACGCGACGGUGUCAAAUUUCGGGUAUAAAUAGAGGGGGUUGGGACUUGAAUUCUGUCUUUGGAACGACGUAAAUCCGAGUUACGUAGAUCAAGUUAUCACAGAAACAGUCCAACACACACACACUAAUAUCGAAUUGCUGCCGCGGAACAGGGUAAUUACUCGAUCGCUAUUACGAUUCAGUUUCUGGGAUCAAUAUACCCAAAGAAUGUCUAAGUGCCGCCCACAUUGGGUUAUGCUUUGUCGUUUGUCGGUAAUCCGAUAAAUGAGUUGAAGCAUUGUACUUUGUCGUUGUCGAUAAUUCGAUAAUGAGUUGAAGUACUAUACUUUGUCGUUUGUCAUUUUGAUAAAUGAGUUGAAGUAUUGCACUUGGUCAUUCAUUGUGAAAAUUUGAUCUCGGGAAAUUAUCGUAACUACUGUAUUGAGCAUUAACCCGGUUUUUGUGAAAUUCGUUAAGGUUGAUUUAGGUUUUUCACCAAUACGUAUUCCAUUAUGUUAAACCACCAGAAAUACUCCCAACUACACCCUUACAAUCAAAUAAACUAUUAAAUCAUCAGAAGAUCCAGAAUAAUAAAGUGCAUGCUUAAUUAUCGGAAGAAAUAUAAUCAAGAAGUUGUUAACUCAAUCCUGCAUGCUGAUUUGUAAUUACAGUAGAUUGGAGUAAGGAUUGGAUCCGGCACUAAAAGACUUCAAGAAGUGGCUUAUUUUAUUAAUUAAAUCAACUUAAGAAAUAUUGUUUUCAUUAAAAGCUACCUUUGUAAAACAUGGAAUUUAUUCCAUCUAUUUAAAUAAAAAUCCGGUGUUUCUAAACUCUGAUAUUUUCCUAACUCACGGUCCUGAUGAAAUUUCCGCUGCAAUGUGUUUUUCAAAAUAAUCACCGGUACCACUGGACUGCUCACGGCACCGAUUCCGGCCAGGAUGGGAUCGGGGGUCGUGACACGUAUCUAGUGAAAUAGAGCGUCGACCAAAUCCCGAGUUUAAACAAGGCGUCGCCGACGCUGGCCUUGGCCGUCGGCGACGGCCUCCCAUUUGUCCGCCUGCAGAAUUCGUUUUUUAGGGGUUUUGAACGAUUUUAAACAUGAUGUUUGACCACUUGGAGGGGGUUACGAGUCAUGGGGGUUAUAAACAUCAUCUAAUCAUCAUCUAACAUUAUCACCUACCUCUCUAACCUAUUCUAACACCACCCACUAACUCAAUCUUCAUCCUAACCCUAAUCAAAUCACCAUCUCCAUCAUUCCACCAUCACCAUCAUCUUCAUCCACCAUUCAAACCCUAACCUCCACCACUCCUCAAGGCUCAAGGUCAUGGCUCCGUGUUCAUGUUUUUGUCGGUCGGUGAUCGCGUUCACCCAACCAUGAGCGGCUAGUCUCUUUGGUUUCACCCCGGUGUAGAUGUUGUAAGAUUUCUAGGGUUUAUACAUUUGUAUUUUAAUUUGGUUUUGUAACAAAUUGUUUGGUAUUUGAAAUUUAUGAUAAUUAUCGUGCAUUU